GAUGAACGCUGGCGGCGUGCCUAAUACAUGCAAGUCGAGCGAAGCGGGGACGGGUGAGUAACACGUGGAUAACAUCCUAUAAGACUGGGAUAACUUCGGGAAACCGGAGCUAAAACGGAUACUUAUAGAUUGAUCCGCGCGGCAUUAGCUAGUUGGUAAGGUAACGGCUUACAAAGGCAACGAGGCAUAGCCGACCUGAGAGUGUGAGCGGCCACACUGGAAGUGAGACACGGUCCAGGCUGCUACGGGAGGCAGCAGUAGGGAACCGUCCGCAAUGGACGAAAGCCUGACGCAGCAACGCAGCGUGAGUGAUGAAGGUCUUCGGAUCGUAAAACUCUGUUAUUAGGGAAGCGGUACCUGAUCAGAAAGCCACGGCUAACUCCGUGCCAGCAGCCGCGGUAAUUC
rnacentral:rRNA from 1 species